rnacentral:rRNA from 1 species
UCUGGUGGUUGAAGCGGGGUGGUACCACCCGUUCCCAUCCCGAACACGGUCGUGAAACGCCCCAGCGCUGACGAUACUGCCCCGGCAACGGGGUGGGAAAAUAGGUCACUGCCAGGA